rnacentral:SRP_RNA from 1 species
AUUGGGAAGUUCUAAGAAUCGACAUGCUUUACUUUGUCAGGUCCGAAAGGAAGCAGCAAGAAGUGUGUGGGUUUUGUAGGCUUCCCUUAUUU